rnacentral:rRNA from 1 species
GAUGAACGCUGACAGAAUGCUUAACACAUGCAAGUCGAUGGGGAAGUGGUGCUUGCACCAUGGUAACCAUGGCGGACGGGUGAGUAACGCGUAAGGAACUUGCCUGCGGGACUGGGAUAACAGCAGGAAACUGCUGAUAAUACCGGAUAAGGUCAUUAAGCUGCAUAGCUUGGUGAUGAAAGGAGACGCCUGCGGAGAGCCUUGCGUCCUAUUAGCUAGUUGGAGGGGUAACGGCCCACCAAGGCGAAGAUAGGUAGCCGGCCUGAGAGGGUGGACGGCCACAAGGGGACUGAGAUACGGCCCUUACUCCUACGGGAGGCAGCAGUGGGGAAUAUUGGACAAUGGGGGCAACCCUGAUCCAGCAAUUCUGUGUGCACGAAGACGGUUUUCGGAUUGUAAAGUGCUUUCAGCAGGGAAGAAGGAAGUGACGGUACCUGCAGAAGAAGCGACGGCUAAAUACGUGCCAGCAGCCGCGGUAAUACGUAUGUCGCGAGCGUUAUCCGGAAUUAUUGGGCAUAAAGGGCAUCUAGGCGGCCUUUCAAGUCAGGGGUGAAAACCUGCGGCUCAACCGCAGGCCUGCCUUUGAAACUGAUAGGCUGGAGUACCGGAGAGGUGGACGGAACUGCACGAGUAGAGGUGAAAUUCGUAGAUAUGUGCAGGAAUGCCGAUGAUGAAGAUAGUUCACUGGACGGUAACUGACGCUGAAGUGCGAAAGCCGGGGGAGCGAACAGG